rnacentral:rRNA from 1 species
GAAUCCCGUCUUUGGCAUGGAUGACCGGGGCUUUUGUGAUGCGCUCUCGAAGAGUCGAGUUGUUUGGGAAUGCAGCUCAAAAUGGGUGGUGAACUCCAUCUAAAGCUAAAUAUUGGCGAGAGACCGAUAGCGAACAAGUACCGUGAGGGAAAGAUGAAAAGCACUUUGGAAAGAGAGUGAAACAGUACGUGAAAUUGUUGAAAGGGAAACGCUUGAAGUCAGUCGCGUCGGCCGAGACUCAGCCUUGCCUCGGCUUGGUGUACUUCUUGACCGACGGGUCAGCAUCAAUUUUGCCCCUUGGAUAAUGGCGAGGGAAAUGUGACACCUUUAUAGGUGUGUUAUAGUCUCUCGUCGCACGCAAGGGUCGGGAUUGAGGAACUCAGCACGCGCCUUCGGGCGUCGGGGCCUUGCCCACGAUACGUGCUUAGGAUGUUGGCGUAAUGGCUUUAAACGACCCGUCUUGAAACACGGACCAAGGAGUCUAACAUGCCCGCGAGUGUUCGGGUGGAAAACCCGUGCGCGCAAUGAAAGUGAAAGUUGGGACCUCUGUCGCGGAGGGCACCGACGCCCGGACCAGAGCUUCUGCGACGGAUCUGCGGUGGAGCGUGUAUGUUAGGACCCGAAAGAUGGUGAACUAUGCCUGAAUAGGGUGAAGCCAGAGGAAACUCUGGUGGAGGCUCGUAGCGAUUCUGACGUGCAAAUCGAUCGUCAAAUUUGGGUAUAGGGGCGAAAGACUAAUCGAACCAUCUAGUAGCUGGUUCCUGCC